CGGUGUCCAAGAAGCUUUCAUUGGUGGUCUCAUGGGAACACUUUCUCUCAUGCUGGCGUUGACCUUCAAGCCAUAGCUUCCAUGAAACAAGCUCAGGUUUAAUACACUCUCAUAUAUUUAUCCACAUCUUUCAAAAUAAGUUAAUGUUGUAAUUGAGGUAUGAGUGAAUUGAGAUCUGUAAUGAAACGGAUUAGAGACAAAGAAGAUAUUGAAUCUGCGUAAGUUUCAAUUCCUGUGAGCUGCUUCAUUCACUAAUAUUGUAAUCUCUUUGUAUUAGAUGUCUUGAUAAGUUUUUUUGUAAUUUGGGAUUAGUCUUAAGAGUUUAGUUAUCAUUAAGAAAAAAAUAUCGCAAAGCUUGGAUUGAGAUGCAGGGGAUCGGCUUUUAGCUGCUCUGUCCUUGGUUGCACAACUUGGGGCAGAGCUUGCCACGACUUUAGUGAUUGUUAUCUCAAAGGUGUGUACUAUAUACCGUUGUUUACACAGGCAGUUUUAUAUGAUGGUUGGUCUUGAUAUUGGCGAGCAUGACUUAGUAUUUUACGUGUUUCUCAUAGUGGAGAUAGAGGGGAUUAAUAUUAGAGAGAUGCUUACCGGUGCCAAAAUAAUGGAUGAGGCUACUAGAACAACUUC